rnacentral:rRNA from 1 species
GUAGGGGGCAAGCGUUGUCCGGAUUUAUUGGGCGUAAAGAGCGUGUAGGCGGCUAGAUAGGUCCGUUGUGAAAACUCGAGGCUCAACCUCGAGACGUCGAUGGAAACCAUCUGGCUAGAGUCCGGAAGAGGAGAGUGGAAUUCCUGGUGUAGCGGUGAAAUGCGCAGAUAUCAGGAAGAACACCCGUGGCGAAGGCGGCUCUCUGGUACGUGACUGACGCUGAGACGCGAAAGCGUGGGGAGCAAACAGGAUUAGAUACCCUGGUAGUCCACGCCGUAAACGAUGGGUGCUAGGUGUGGGGGGUGUCGACUCCCUCCGUGCCGAAGCUAACGCAUUAAGCACCCCGCCUGGGGAGUACGGCCGCAAGGCUA